rnacentral:lncRNA from 1 species
UCCCUCCAUAUCAUGCCUUACAUGCCCUGCAUCUUCUUGAUGUAUCUCUGGUUCUGUCAUAUUAGUUGGCACAUCAUCAAUUGCUCUCCCUCCCACAUCUCCUUCUUCCACUUCAUGCUUCACAUACAGUUGAAUAACAUCACCAGCAUACACAUUAACUAUAUAAAGCACAUCUGCGUCAUUCUUUAAAACCUUAAGACCAUGUGCCAGUGUGCUCCAAGGAACGGUAUAGUAUACAUCCCUAACAUUGUAAUACCGAAGAUCAUUAUUGAUUGUACUAAUGACCUCUUGAUAUGAUAUAUAAUCAGGACCUAUAGCUACCAAAUCCUCUCUACCCCCAUCAUAAAACCUCAGAUUGUUCUUGGCAACAAAUCUCCCUCGGAAGUUUAACUCUAUUUUAUUAUC